GUCUUCGUGGUGUAGUGGUCAACAUGCUGGACGUGUAUCCAGAAGUCCAUGGUUCGAGUCUAAGUGAAGAUG
rnacentral:tRNA from 1 species